rnacentral:lncRNA from 1 species
AGCAGCGUGUGGGCACCAUCAGCACACGAAGCUGCCAGCACCCACGGUGCUGAGGUGGUGGAGAAGGGAUCUCCUCCUGCCCUGAAGUGACAUCUACGCUGCUGAGGCACUCCUGACCCCACAGAGGCUCUGGUUUGCUUAUUUCUCUCUUAUUGAGGUCUAGCAGCAGCUCUUGCACACCGACCUCUGCAUUUUGACUGUACAUCAUCAAAGCCUCCCAGCUGUGAGCUGGGCACAAUGCAGGCUUUCCAUCUCCAGGGGAUGUCUGAGCUGCUCAUCUGAAGAUCCUAACUCCCAAGACUGUGGUUGUUUGUGUGUCCGUCCAUCCCCUCUGUCCUUUUGCACCUCAGAUAGACUGGAAGAAGGAGGAUGCCACUGUGGUGAAACUUUUGCAAGCAUUUGAAGAACAGCCAGAGGAUCACAGGAUCUUUUUCAUAGCACUGCAUCCCAUCUUACCUGUGUGUGGGAACCAUUUCCAUAGCAUCUUCAAGCACAGCUUGCUCUGGAGUGGAUCACAGCUGAUAGUAAGUGCAGUAGAGAAAGAAGAGCACGUACAUACACUGGAAGCAGCCUGUAAUUCCAUGUUAUAUUUUAACCAAGUUUUUGUUUUAACACUCUGAAAUUGUCAACCAGAAUGAUAACUGUGAAAUUUUAAAGGCUUGGAAUAAUAGGACCUCUGCCUCAUGCCAUAUCCA